GGAGAAGCAACGUGAUGAGCAUUGCUGGCUGGAGCUCCAAAGGGGCACCUGUGUGUGUGUGUGUGUGUGUGUGUGUGUGUGUGUGUGUGUGUGUGUGUGUGUGUGUGUGUGUGUGUGUGUCUGUACCCUUGUCUGUGCAUGCACACGUCUGUCUGGGAGUAUGCGUGAGUGUGGCUGGUUGUAGGGACCUAGUUAUGUGCCUCCUUUUGGACGAUGAUAGUCAAAAACUGAUAAGAUCUGAUUGCUUC
rnacentral:snoRNA from 1 species